GCUUACGGCCAUACCACCCUGAGCACGCCCGAUCUCGUCUGAUUUGGAAGCUGAGCAGUGUCGGGCCUGGUUAGAACUUGCAUGGGAGACCGCGUGGGAAUACCAGGUGCUGUAAGCU
rnacentral:rRNA from 1 species